rnacentral:rRNA from 1 species
UAAGGAAUAUUGGUCAAUGGACGCAAGUCUGAACCAGCCAUGCCGCGUGAAGGAUGAAGGUCCUCUGGAUUGUAAACUUCUUUUAUCUGGGACGAAAACGGGAUUUUUAUCUCAAUUGACGGUACCAGAGGAAUAAGCACCGGCUAACUCCGUGCCAGCAGCCGCGGUAAUACGGAGGGUGCGAGCGUUAUCCGGAUUUACUGGGUUUAAAGGGUGCGUAGGUGGGCUUAUAAGUCAGUGGUGAAAUCUCCGAGCUUAACUUGGAAACUGCCGUUGAUACUAUAGGUCUUGAAUUGUCUGGAGGUAAGCGGAAUAUGUCAUGUAGCGGUGAAAUGCUUAGAUAUGACAUAGAACACCAAUUGCGAAGGCAGCUUACUACAUAUAAAUUGACGCUGAGGCACGAAAGCGUGGGGAUCAAACA